UACAGAGGUCUCAAGCGUUGUUCGGAUUCAUUGGGCGUAAAGGGUGCGUAGGUGGCGCCAUAAGUCGGGUGUGAAAUCUCGGGGCUUAACUCCGAAACUGCAUUCGAUACUGUGGUGCUUGAGGACUGGAGAGGAGACUGGAAUUCAUGGUGUAGCAGUGAAAUGCGUAGAGAUCAUGAGGAAGACCAGUGGCGAAGGCGGGUCUCUGGACAGCUCCUGACACUGAGGCACGAAGGCCAGGGGAGCAAACGGG
rnacentral:rRNA from 1 species